UAAAAAGUCUUAAAAGUGUACCACAAAGCACUUAAGAUAAAAGCUGAAAGCAGAAUUAUUUUAAAGAUGCUGAUAUGAGGCCUCUGAGUAGAUGCUUAAUGAGAGAUUGACAAACACACGACACCAGAUUCAUGUGGGUAAUUGACAUUCGAGGCAGAUUGCAGAGAGUGUUAAGCACAGUGGUGUAGUGCAGGGUAUAUGCAAGUAUAUGGGGUAUACCCACGUCCUUUUCUGGCCCUUUAUACCCACCAAUCAGCCAAAAAGACAUUGGAACAUGUAGGAGAGUACACCCACUUCCUCUUUGGUAACCCGCCCAUCUACCUAGUCUCACAAAGGUCUAACCUCUCUCAUGACGGUCUAACACCAGCCCACUUUCUGUUCCUAAAAAACCUGUGGCUGAUGCUGACUGGAACGCCAGUUCUCUCUCUUGUUUUUUAAAGAUUAUUAUUUUGGGGCUUUUGCCUUUAAUGGAUAGGGUAGCUAAGCAUGAAGGGGGGAGAGAGACAGAGAGGGAACAACAUGCAGCGAAGGGCCACAAGCUUGAGUUGAAUCUGGGCUGCUGUGACAAGGACAAAGCCUCUGUACAUAGGACGCCUCCUCUAACCACUAAGCCACCAACGCCCCAGUUCCAGUUCUCUCUUUGAAAGAAGUACUGGAAUCCCAGAGUAGGAAUUAUGUCUGUGGACGUGACAGAAAUGUCCUCAAAACAUUAAGUGAUAGCCCACAAGGGUCCACGCCCACUCUCUUACUUUCUUUGUCAGCAAAAAGGUUGUUGUGAGUGACGUUGUAGUUUCAAAGGCAGAUGAUGCAACGGAAAAAGUCUAAAAGGACUCUUUUUCCUCUGCUACAGUGACCAAGCGUAAACCACCAGCGGAGGCAAAUCUUUCCAGUGGCAGGAAAUUAAAGAGUCAAGACGAAGGCUCUUAGAGAAAAGACUUUUUGUACACCCACCUCAUCAACUACUGCGACACCACUGGUUAAGUAUACACUAACAUCUGAGUGUCCCCAAAACUGUGACAACUACACUGCAAAUGCUGCAAACCUAUAAUGUGCCAUGACAUCUAAUUUGCUGAGAUGAUUAGUGAGUUUAGUUGAUCGAUCAAAUAAUAGAAAAUUAAUAAGUGACAAUUUUUAAAAUAAUAAUUCGAUCAUUUAUAUAAUUUUUGUAUGCAGGCAAUUUGACAUCUGCACUAUUACCUUAUAUUUUAUAGACAAAAAUAAUAUGUAUUAUUAAUUAUAGUAAUUAAUUGAUAAUGCAUAUAAUUGUUGGUUGUAGCCCUAAUUUAUGCUAUUGUACUCAAUUUUUGCAAGUUUAUUGUGAAUGAGUAUAUUCUUUUCUGAGAAAACUGCUUGCAAAAGCUGUUGUAUCAAAUUUAAAAUCCCCUGCCACAUACCUACUUAUAUAUGUCCUAUAGUUUUGAAGCAUCAUGUAAACUUCAGAAAUAUUUUUAAGAUUAUUUAAGUAACUUUUGAAGCUCAGCAGGGUUUGGCCCCAGUUAUAUAGCUGAGUUACCAAUGCUCCAAGUUGAGACCUUAGAUCCUAAAGCCUACCCUCUCAAGGUGACUGCACUUUGGCCAUCAAUGCUGCAAGGCUCUGGAAUUCUGUGCUUGUGGGGAUUAGGUUGGCCAGCACAUCACCCGUUUUUAAAUCAUUGCUUAAAGCAUCGUUUUAUCGGAAAGCUUUCCCUAUAAAUGCCCGAUUUGUACUUUUGUGAUGUGUAACUUUUGUGUUUUAUUUCCUUUUGCUCUGUUUUUGCCUCUGUACAAACUGUUUUUCUUAGCUCUUAACAUUUUUUUCAUGCACUUUCUUAGGAAUAUUAGUAUUAUUAUGUUUUAUGACCCAAAAUAAACACAUAAAUGGAGGACAAAGACCCGAGAUGGGUGGAUAUGCCCAUCCAGCUCCUCCAUUACACAUAUGUUAUGCCACAUGGCUAAAUAUAACUUCAACCUAUGGACUUAAAGCAGUUUUAAUCUAUGGACUGAUGUCCUUCAGUCUUCACAGCCCCUCCCAGUGUCUUCAGUUCAGAAGUAGUAAAUCGCAGGUGUGCGAGGCUUUUUUUGUGGUGAAACCACUUGAUGUUUUGUUUAAAACUACGUCAGAAAUCCGACACUUUCAAAGCAUUUACAUUAUACCCACAGUCAAUGUGUGUCAAACACAGGUCAGUCUGUACACUCACAUGACUCAUUCACUAAGUCAUUAGCCAGUUUCCAGUCCUUUCAGUCCUCUGCUCACCCAUUUGGUUAAACAUCUAUCAUGCACGAGCGUUAAUCAACACUGAACCCCCUCUGUCACUCCGCACCACUAACAUGCCGUGUCCUUCAAACUAGCACACACAGACGGCAAAUACUGACGGAGUUACAAUAGCCAUCAGCCAACACUUCAUGGGACAGUUUAAGCAAAUACGGUGCUGUCAGGACACACAGGACUCUGUGUAAACUAAACAGCAGAUGACCGUGUGAAUCAUCCUUAGAAAGGAGCCAGACAGAUGGCAGGAUGCAGGCACCAACCUGGGCAAAGCAGAGAGCUACCGCAUAGGGGUAGUGGUACUGAGGGAUGAAGAUGCCGGCCACAAAGUUGCGG